rnacentral:rRNA from 1 species
UGGGGAAUAUUGGGCAAUGGGCGCAAGCCUGACCCAGCAACGCCGCGUGAAGGAAGAAGGCUCUCGGGUUGUAAACUUCUUUUAUCAGGGACGAAACAAAUGACGGUACCUGAUGAAUAAGCCACGGCUAACUACGUGCCAGCAGCCGCGGUAAUACGUAGGUGGCAAGCGUUAUCCGGAUUUACUGGGUGUAAAGGGCGUGUAGGCGGGAUGUAAGUCAGAUGUGAAAACUAUGGGCUCAACCCAUAGCCUGCAUUUGAAACUAUCGUUCUUGAGUGCUGGAGAGGCAAUCGGAAUUCCGUGUGUAGCGGUGAAAUGCGUAGAUAUACGGAGGAACACCAGUGGCGAAGGCGGAUUGCUGGACAGUAACUGACGCUGAGGCGCGAAAGCGUGGGGAGCAAACAGGAUUAGAUACCC